UUUUGUUCGAGAUCCAAAACUAUUCAUCAAUAACAUUGUAAGAUGACAGAGGUAACGGCCGUCGCUGACAUUCCACCAAAUAAUACUAUCUACAUUAACAAUCUUAACUAGAAAACAAAGCUUCAUGAGCUAAAGAACUCAUUGGAAGAAGUUUUCUCAUUAUUCGGGAAGACCACGGAGAUAUUAGCAUUCAAAACAUUGAAACACAAAGUAACAAUACUCAAUAUCCAU